UAUUUUUUGAAGGACACAGAAAACUACUUU
rnacentral:piRNA from 1 species